UACGAAGGUCCCAAGCGUUAUCCGGAUUUAUUGGGUUUAAAGGGUGCGUAGGCGGGUUAUUAAGUCAGUGGUGAAAGCUCCCGGCUCAACCGGGAAAUUGCCAUUGAUACUGAUGAUCUUGAGUGUGGUUGAGGUGGGCGGAAUGUGUCAUGUAGCGGUGAAAUGCUUAGAUAUGACACAGAACACCGAUUGCGAAGGCAGCUCACUAAGCCACAACUGACGCUGAUGCGCGAAAGCCAGGGGAGCGAACGGG
rnacentral:rRNA from 1 species